rnacentral:rRNA from 1 species
UACGUAGGUCCCGAGCGUUGUCCGGAUUUAUUGGGCGUAAAGCGAGCGCAGGCGGUUUGAUAAGUCUGAAGUAAAAGGCUGUGGCUUAACCAUAGUAUGCUUUGGAAACUGUCAAACUUGAGUGCAGAAGGGGAGAGUGGAAUUCCAUGUGUAGCGGUGAAAUGCGUAGAUAUAUGGAGGAACACCGGUGGCGAAAGCGGCUCUCUGGUCUGUAACUGACGCUGAGGCUCGAAAGCGUGGGGAGC